UUGUGCUCCGGAGGCAUGAGGUGGUAGAAGAUUUGCCGUUCAUCGUUGAGUUUAGGAACAGAUGGCCAGCACUCUUUACUGAGAGAGAGGUAUCUGCAGAAUUCAGUAGGAUUACAACUAUCCCUUUGGUGUCCAAAUUUAUGGGUCAGCUGGAUAAUUUCUCAACCCAGCUCCUCAGAAUCUUCAGAAAGAAAGGAGGAAGAGCAACACAGAAGAUGACAAACAUCCUGUCAGUUAUGGAUCGGAAUGACACCAUCGAAAAAAAACGUGAAUGCAUCUUGAAAGCCCUUACUGUUUACAUGAACGAAGACCCCUCAAACC